rnacentral:rRNA from 1 species
UACGGAGGUGGCAAGCGUUGUUCGGAAUUACUGGGCGUAAAGGGCGCGUAGGCGGUUUGGCAAGUCAGAUGUGAAAGCCCCGGGCUUAACCCGGGAAUUGCAUCUGAAACUGCUUAACUUGAGUUCUGGAUGGGGUAGUGGAAUUCCCAGUGUAGCGGUGAAAUGCGUAGAUAUUGGGAGGAACACCUGCGGCGAAGGCGGCUACCUGGACAGUGACUGACGCUGAGGCGCGAAAGCUAGGGGAGCGAACGGG